rnacentral:rRNA from 1 species
AUGACGAACAAGGAGCUUCAUGAUAAGUUUCAUCAAAUGUUGGGUCAACAGGUGGAAGACGUGAUGGCUAGUUUUGGAAAGGCAUUGGAGAGGACGGAUGACAUUGAGAAGACAAUUGACACCAAGUUGGACGCCAAGUUCGAUGAAUUACUCAAACGUCUCCCACAACCAGUUCUACACCGUGAUACAGUAGGGCGCGCACAACAUGUUCCUAUUGAGCCAGGACAAAAUUCUGGUGCCACUGCUACUGCUAUUGGUUCUUUUGUAGCUCCUCCUGCUACUACAGAGGUGGAGGACUAUUACAAGGAUGAGGUUGAUCAAAAUCAGAACUAUGUGCAGCCACCAGCCACCACCAACAGGUCGACCUCAGGUAUAUAUUCGCAACGGUAG